rnacentral:rRNA from 1 species
AGCGGCGGAUGGGUGAGUAACACGUGGGGAACCUGCCCCUAAGUCUGGGAUACCAUUUGGAAACAGGUGCUAAUACCGGAUAAUAAAGCAGAUCGCAUGAUCAGCUUUUGAAAGGCGGCGUAAGCUGUCGCUAAGGGAUGGCCCCGCGGUGCAUUAGCUAGUUGGUAAGGUAACGGCUUACCAAGGCGACGAUGCAUAGCCGAGUUGAGAGACUGAUCGGCCACAUUGGGACUGAGACACGGCCCAAACUCCUACGGGAGGCAGCAGUAGGCAAUCUUCCACAAUGGACGCAAGUCUGAUGGAGCAACGCCGCGUGAGUGAAGAAGGUUUUCGGAUCGUAAAGCUCUGUUAUUGGUGAAGAAGGAUAGAGGUAGUAACUGGCCUUUAUUUGACGGUAAUCAACCAGAAAGUCACGGCUAACUACGUGCCAGCAGCCGCGGUAAUACGUAGGUGGCAAGCGUUGUCCGGAUUUAUUGGGCGUAAAGCGAGCGCAGGCGGAAAAAUAAGUCUAAUGUGAAAGCCCUCGGCUUAACCGAGGAACUGCAUCGGAAACUGUUUUUCUUGAGUGCAGAAGAGGAGAGUGGAACUCCAUGUGUAGCGGUGGAAUGCGUAGAUAUAUGGAAGAACACCAGUGGCGAAGGCGGCUCUCUGGUCUGCAACUGACGCUGAGGCUCGAAAGCAUGGGUAGCGAACAGGAUUAGAUACCCUGGUAGUCCAUGCCGUAAACGAUGAGUGCUAAGUGU